ensembl:misc_RNA 7SK 7SK RNA
GGAUGUGUGGGCGAUCUGGCUGUGACAUCUGUCACCCCGUUAAUCGCCAGGGUUGAUUCGGCUGAUCUGGCUGGCUAGGCGGGUGUCCCCUUCCUCCCUCAUUGCUCCAUAUGUGUCCCUCCUGAAGCUGUGCACUUGGUCGAAGAGGAUGGCCUUCCCAGAAUAGAGAUAGACCGGUCUUUGGUCAAGGGUAUAUGUGUAGCUGCGCUCCUCGGCUAGAACCUCCAAACAAGCUCUCAAGGUCCUAAUCUAAGGAGUUUGGGUAGACCUGUCUCUCCCUUUGUUUCCUCUUUAACAUCCCACACUGUCUUUCUGGUGGGGUAGUGGUAA